AUUGAACGCUGGCGGCAGGCUUAACACAUGCAAGUCGAACGGUAACAUAAAGAAGCUUGCUUCUUUGAUGACGAGUGGCGGACGGGUGAGUAAUGCUUGGGAAUCUGGCUUAUGGAGGGGGAUAACUACGGGAAACUGUAGCUAAUACCGCGUAGAAUCGGGAGAUGAAAGUGUGGGACCUUCGGGCCACAUGCCAUAGGAUGAGCCCAAGUGGGAUUAGGUAGUUGGUGAGGUAAAGGCUCACCAAGCCGACGAUCUCUAGCUGGUCUGAGAGGAUGACCAGCCACACUGGGACUGAGACACGGCCCAGACUCCUACGGGAGGCAGCAGUGGGGAAUAUUGCGCAAUGGGGGCAACCCUGACGCAGCCAUGCCGCGUGAAUGAAGAAGGCCUUCGGGUUGUAAAGUUCUUUCGGUAGCGAGGAAGGCAUUUAGUUUAAUAGACU
rnacentral:rRNA from 1 species